UAUUAUAGAAUAAUCAAAAAUAAAGUCAGUUAUAAGCAUUCUUUUGAAUUUUUUAAAUUUUGCAAUAUUUUGAAAGACAUAUGGCACAUAUGUAUGGGGAAAGAUAAAAUUUAUUUAAUUUAAAAAUGAAAUAUUUCUGAAAUAAAUGUUUAAAAAGUAACUUUAAAUGAAAUAAAUUUUUUUUAAAAGACUAAAAGAAGAAAUAAUAGUACUUAUAAAUAUAAUACGAACAAGGAUUUGUGGUAAGGUAGGAGUAUUAAAGAAAAAUUAAAAAGAGAUGUUGCCUCCAUUUUAUUUGAGUUUAAGAGAUGGAGACUUAUUGUUGUGUAGAAGAAGGAGGGGUUUUCUCCAUUCGAAAAUCUGGCGCAGAGGAAUAACGCAUCUGAAUGUCAUUUAAUCAUACGAUGGUUUAGAGAGUUAAGUUUCAACAAUGAUAAAAAUUUCCGUUAAAAAUUUAUAAUGCUAGAUAUAUUGUGUUAUAUUAUUUGUAUGUUAAAAAAGUUGAUAGUUUGUUUAAUAAUAAAAAAUGACACAAUAAAUAAUACCAGUAAUAAUAAUCAUAAUUAUAUUUAAAAAAAGUCACAUAAAUGCUCUUUAAAUUGAUGAUAUGGAUAAUAUUACAAGACGUGUUGUUAUUGAUGGACAUUAGGUCUUAUGAAUCCGUGAAAUUACUUAAGUGUUGUGUGCGCAAGAAAGAAAGAAUAAUAAAAGUUAAGGAAUAAAAUGGGGGAAGAGUAGCAAAAAAAGGAGGGAUGAAAGAGGCCGUUUGACGUGACAAAUGAUUGCUUCCCUGAAAAGUAGUAAUAUAGUAUAGAAGUGUAUCAACAAGUGUUAAUAGCUCAUAUUAAUCUCUAACACCUAAAAACUGAACUUUAUCUCAAAACAAACGUGGGCCUGUUUCGUGAAUGGUGAUAAAAAUUUUUAACAAGAAUAAGAAUUAAUUAGUAAUGAGUUUACUAAACUUAAAAUAAUAUUUGUUCAGUUUGUUUUAUUAGUAUUUCAUAAUGAAUUUAGUAAAAUUUUUUGAAAAAAAAAUUAAAAAUCAAAGUGAAGGUUCUCAUGCGUGUUGACACCCAUGUGAAUAUUAAAAUUUUACUGAAUGUACCUGGAGGAAAAUAAACAUUAUCUCAGGUUAUUGCAGCACUAUUAAUAUCAUUUGGAUCAUUAGCUGUUAGUUUUUCAAAUGGCCACUUUUCGACAGCAAUCCUUUCAAUUAAUGAUACUAGCAUACGACACAUUGCACCAUUCUCAGAAUAGCAUAAAUAAGAAUAAUCAUCAUUUCAACAAUUUUAUUGAUGAAAAAAAAUUGAUUGAUAUGAAAGAAGUAAUUUUAACAUCGAAAUUACCAUUAAUAUAAAUCAAUUAUGGCUUCGUGUGGAAUCGCUGAGAGAAAACUGUCAUUGGAUGAGUGUGACUCAAGAGGAACUUGAACUCAUUGGAGAUUCACAUAGAUUUAUUUCUCCAGAGGACGUGACAGACUUUAUUCAUCCUUUGUUAAGUAAAAAAUCUAAUUCCAAAUUGGUUAUUUAUAUUUUAAUCGCUUUAAAAAUUCCAUUAUUACCAACUCGCCAUCAAACUUUAAAAGAUUUAGACAUGAAGGAAAUGAAUUGGAGUUUUGAUUUUCUACAAUUUUCAAUCCCAUUUAAAUAUCCGUGUGCUGGUGAAAUGGCUGGUUAUGAUUAAAGAAUUGCCCUUUCAACACGAUUCUUUGAAGGAAGUAUAACAUUAGGAUCUCAAUACAUUUGGUAUCAUUCAGCACAGAAAUCUUAUAUGAACUUUGUUUUCAGUACUGUUGCAGAAAGUCUAUCAUCAGAGAAUAGAUUGAGUAUCUAUACUUGGUAAUAUAUUUCUAAAUUUCAUGAGGAGUUAUUAGAAAGUCCUGAUUUGUCACUCCUGGAGAAAUCGUUAGAAACACUAUUUUUUCAUAUUAAUUUUCAUUGUGACAUCGUGAUAUGUUACGUGUAUUUUUUUUUUAUCAACAGUAAAGACUUGGAAAAAAUUGUUGAAAUGUAUGAUAUAUCUUUAACAAAGCUUUCAAGUUAUCCACAUGUUCAAGAGAAAGUGUAUGAAAACCAAAUAGCAUUUUUACACUUUAUUUAUGAAAAAUCAUGGAUGAAUUUGAAUCUACUAAGAGAGCACUUGAGUAAAGCUAUUAAAUGUCAUCCUAAUAAUUUCUAUAUUCUCUCUCUUUUUGCAGGAGUUAAGAAUGAAUUACUACAUUGGAGUAUAUGUAUGUAUUCGUCUUACAAAUGAUCGACUUUGGAUAAAUAUUGCACUAUGUUUAACAGAUCAAGCACUUCACAAACAUCAGUUUGUACAAACAAUCCUAUUGCUGUGCCUGCUGCAACGAAUAAACUGCUCCAUCUUUACAAAAGACCUUCAAAGGAUGUUUAAGUUCCUCUCAUGGAUGACAUUCAUCAAAAAAUGAAUUAUGCUAUUGUCCAAUUAUCUGGAGAUUAUACAUAUACACAUGUUAUUCCUUCAAGGAGAAGAAAUUUAUCAUGAAAAUGUUGCCUACUGCCCAUGGUCUAGAUGUAUUUAUAUCGAUACUGCUAAAAUUGUUCCUCAAUUAUUAACACGAAUUAAGGAUAUAAUUCGUAAAAACAAUUUAAGAAUGCACGUGUCUCCAGAAGAGCUUAACAUUUUAAUAGGAUAAUUAUGAAAUAUUAUUAAUUGUUGCAUUGAUAUUAUGAAUUCAAACAGAAAUUAUGAUAUAAAAAAAUUAGAGUCAAUUAUUUAAAACGUUGGAGUUAUUACAUAUUUUUGUUAAUUUAUGUAUAUGUUCAUGUACACACAUAAUGUACACAGUCUACAUAAUGUAUACUCUUGGAACGAAAAAAUGUUUAACAAAAAUAAAUAGAUAUUAGCAAUACUAUUUGACGUAAAGAAUGAAAUUAGCAAGUUUACAUCAUAAGUCGACAAUGUGGUAAAAUCAACGUCCUAUUAUUGAUAUGACGAUUAUUAGUAAGUAACAAUAGUAUUAAAAUUUUACUGAAGAAUCCUUAAAUUUUUACUGGGGUCACGUAGUGAUGCGGGACCAUAUGUGCAAACCUGAGAAAAUUUACUCAGUAGCCUGUAGUAAAAACCCAUUUAGUAACCCAUUAGAAUUUUAAGGGUUUUUUUUAUCUAAGAAUUUUUACGGGGUUCCGCAUUAUUGUGUCAUUCUAGAAAAAUUAAAGGAUUCUUUAAAAAAAUGUUUACAAACUUUUUGCUCCAUGUAUGAAUUAUUAUUGACAAUAUUAACAAUAAUGAUAAUAUGAAAAGAAAAAAUGUAA